UACGUAGGGUGCGAGCGUUAAUCGGAUUUACUGGGCGUAAAGCGUGCGCAGGCGGCCCGUUAAGACAGGUGUGAAAUCCCUGGGCUCAACCUAGGAAUUGCGCUUGUGACUGGCGGGCUCGAGUACGGUAGAGGGGGGUGGAAUUCCUGGUGUAGCAGUGAAAUGCGUAGAGAUCAGGAGGAACACCGAAGGCGAAAGCGGGUUCCUGGGCCUGUACUGACGCUCAUGCACGAAAGCGUGGGGAGCAAACAGG
rnacentral:rRNA from 1 species